rnacentral:lncRNA from 1 species
GGAACAAACAAUUGAAUAUUCUUGGUCUUCAUUGUAAAAGCACAAGGCCAAGAUGAAAGUUCAUGUUUUGGAAAAUUUGUGAAAUCUUAACUUGAACUAAUUUUGGGUUCAGCUUCACACGUGAGUCAUGUCUGACCUGAUGUUAGCUGUAAUCAGUUUUGAGCUUUAAGAAUAGUUGUUAUUGCUUGGGUUCUGAAUGUAUGAGAAAACUCUUCUGUUUAUUUGUAGUUCUGACUUAGGUUAUUUUAAAUCCAUGAUUAACAUACAUUCCCUUUUAAAAUUAUGGUUUAAUUGCUGAAAGAGAUUUAUUUUUGUUAUACUAGACUAUGGAAAAUUUUUUCAUAGAAUUUUUUUCAAGUUUAUUUUUUGUGUGCUUCAUUUGGAACCAUUUUUGUUUAUAUACAUUGUAUGUGCUCAAAAUAGUUUUUUUUUAAUUCAGUAAGAUUUAAAACUACAGUGUAACACGUUGUGAUCUUUGUGUAUUUUCACUUUACAUUUUAAAUGCCAGACUUUACAAAAAUAGCUGAUCUUUAUUAAUUGCAUCUUAAUUAGAAACGUUUGUUCUCUUCCAUGUCUUUGACCUUCUAAGUUUUUAUUUUAGUCUGCUUAAAGAAAAUCCUUGCACUACAACCUUUUCAUAAAAUUCAAGAUUCUCACAUUGAAGGUUUUGUAUUGGAAGAAAUACUACUGGUUUUUAAAAAGCAAGGCUUAAUUAAUAGAAUUAUUAGCAUUUCUUGAGACAGCUUUCUGUGUCCUCACUACUCUGUGUGAGUGUUACUAUAAUUUGUGAAAUACUGACUGAGCCCUUCACUUAUCUUUUCUGAAGCAGCACCUUUGGACACCUCAUUCUGGGAAGCCUGCUCGAGUUAUAGUAAAGGACACACACAUUUGUGUGGGGAGAAGUGGUAAAAAAUGGAGAGUUGUGUCUUAAUUACAUGAAACUAAGCUUUAAAAUAUUUUAUAACAAAUUAUUUGAGCUGCAUAAUCUAAACAUGUCAAACGUUCAGUGGGACUAUUUUUAUAUAUGUAUAUGUGGUUGUAGGUCAUAACAUUUCAGUUUAUAAUAUAAAUUGUUAUUUCAGUUUAUAAGCUAUCUCUCAGAAAAGACUAGCUCUUUUGAGAAUACAUAAUUUAAAGUUUUAGAGUGAAGUAAAACACAACAUAGAUAAUAGUAAAAUUAGAUAUAAAUGAGGGCUAUAUGGCAGUAAAACUGCUAGUGCCAUUUUUCCUCUUUGCCUAUUACACUGAAAAAUUAGUUUAUCAAGAGUUUAUAAAGUCAAAUAUUCCAUAGACAUAGACUGGAAUAGGUAAACUCAUGAAAGUCGUAUCCUUUCAGUAUACCAGUAUAACUUCAAUAUUACAUGAGUAACACUG